AACGAACGCUGGCGGCAUGCCUAACACAUGCAAGUCGAACGAGACCUUCGGGUCUAGUGGCGCACGGGUGCGUAACGCGUGGGAACCUGCCCUUAGGUUCGGAAUAACUCCCCGAAAGGGGUGCUAAUACCGGAUAAUGUCUUCGGACCAAAGAUUUAUCGCCUUUGGAUGGGCCCGCGUUGGAUUAGCUAGUUGGUAGGGUAAAAGCCUACCAAGGCGACGAUCCAUAGCUGGUCUGAGAGGAUGAUCAGCCACACUGGGACUGAGACACGGCCCAGACACCCACGGGAGGAGGGAGGGGGGAAUAUUGAACAAGGGGAAAAAGCUGGACCCCCAAAGGCCGUGGGAGUGAUAAAGGCCUGAGGGUUGAAAAGCUCUUUUACCCGGGAUAAAAAUGAAAGUACCGGAAAAAUAAGCCCGGGCAAACCCCGUC
rnacentral:rRNA from 1 species